rnacentral:rRNA from 1 species
CACGUAGGGCGCAAGCGUUGUCCGGAAUUAUUGGGCGUAAAGAGCUCGUAGGUGGUUUGCUGCGUCCGCUGUGAAACCCAAGGCUUAACCUUGGGCUUGCAGUGGAUACGGGCAGACUAGAGGUAGGGAGGGGAGAAUGGAAUUCCCGGUGUAGCGGUGAAAUGCGCAGAUAUCGGGAGGAACACCGGUGGCGAAGGCGGUUCUCUGGGCCUUACCUGACACUGAGGAGCGAAAGCGUGGGGAGCGAACAGG